UGGCGUUUCAGCGUACGGACGUGAACGGAAUUGUGGCGCGCGAGUGAAACGCGUUCAUUUGAAAAUCUAUACCAACGGCUGCCGAUUAUGGAGUGUAUUUGUGCAAAUAUUUCGAGCUUGUGAGAAACAGUUGUGGCAAAAAUUGUGCUGUACAAUAAAACAAUAUUGUGUCAUCAUAAAUUGUGUUAAUAUUCGUACGCAAUAAUAUGUACGCACAUACAUAUGUUUAUAUGAAUACAACAACAAUAAACAGCUGACUUUUCGAGCGAGUAAGUAAAUGGGUGGCUUGGCUUGGUGGUGUCAGUGUAUGUUUUACAAUCAUUUUUGCAAAUAUUGGCGGAAGCGGAACUGUUAACCUCGUUCUGCUGGCAUAGUCCAAAAAUUACAAUUUCGUUACUUACUUACUUACUAAUACGAGAGCUGGUUGUAGAGUCUACAUGCAGCGGGGAUUCCCAUUUGUCGUCCUUGUGUGUGCACAUUCAUAACUACAUGCGUAUGUAUUUGUAUAUCGUGUGUCGUAUUGUAGUUUUCGGUAAAUUCGAUUUAACGAUACGUAGAUAAGUUGGUCGGACGGUCGGACGGUCGGUAGAUCGGGCGCUCGGUUGGUCGGUAUAGUAUGUAGAGCGAAAAUUUUUCAAACGAUUUAUCACAUUCGGCUAACAAAAGGUCCUUUUAGUGUGCAUUCCACACAUGUGUGUGUGUGUGCUUGUGUGUACGUAUGUGAGCUUAUGAAACAACUAUAACAAAGCUGUGCAAAAUUAUUAAAUAAAUGACCAAAUGCUGGCGCUAUUCACACCCCGGUUGGAUAUCGUUCUUGCUGAUGGGAGAGCGUGAAAAAUUUGUAACAGAAAAAGAUUUUGUGGUUACUGCAUAUAUUCCAUGGUUAUAAAAAGGUGCGUAAGACGUUUGCGUCAAGAGCUGCUUGUCGUAAUUAGUUGGUCAAAAUGUCUGAUUGCGAGUGACCGGAAAAGUUUAUUGCUUGGGAUCAGGAACAGCGAGAACAGCAACACAGCAUGAAAUCAAGAAGUUCGCAUUGCGCAAUGCGGAUGUGUAAAAUAUCUACUUGAAAAGUUCGAAAUAGAAUAAAAUGAAAAGAGAGACCAUCUAAUAACAUUUAGUGAAAUUAAAAAUGAAGCUGCAAAAAUAAGAAAUAAGAGAAAAACAUGAUGGGAGAAAAUAAAUUAUAUAAACAAACAAGAAAGUUAGUUGCGAAUAUGCUGGAAAAAUCAAAGUCUCCAAACAGCUAAUUUCUGGCAUAUUAAGAAGUCACAUACAUACGGGUACAGAGAUACGACAUUCUUCCAGCUAACAAGCGUUUGGUAACAAAAUAAAAUCAGCACAUUUAAGAAAUUAACCAUAACCUGGCGAAAAAACCAGCAUGUCAAAAACAUCCGAUUGCCACCGGCGACAACAAACAAAUAGGCAUCAAAUUUAUUUUAAUGUCAUAUUAUUUAUCGAAAUAAAAGUUAAAAGAGAAUAAAAGCAAAAAUCAAUGCCUAAAUAAACAUUCAUAGCUGUGCAGUACGCAUUGCUCUAAGCAAAAGUUUAAGGACAGAUGCGCCGUUUUAAGACAAGCAAAGGCAACAGACGGUGAAAAACAUUCAAAAAAGAAAAACAGUCGAAAUGAAAAACCAGAAUUUGUGUACGACUCGUAACAGGCACAACCGAGUUUUAUUUAUUUUUCAAAGCUGGCAGCACAUGUGCAGAAAAUACACCAUUUAGCUAAGCCAAAAGACAUGCCUGAAAACUUACACA
rnacentral:lncRNA from 1 species